GUGAGCUUUUUAAGCAAGCUAGCUUCUCUGAGCUACUGUAUCUUCAUUGCUACCUCACAAAGUAAGAGAACAUACCCAGAAAUUCUUUGUAGACUGUAAGGUGCCAUACAAAGGUAAGAUGCUGGGAACCCUCUCGGCUGUUAGAGACGGUGCUAAGGGAAAGACAUGGACAAAUAAUUCAGGUUUUUGUGGAGAACAAGUUCUAAAAGCAGGCAAAUUUACAAGAGAUCUUGAGUAGAGCAAGGGGGCCACAGGGGACCUAACCACCUCCCGGAAGUGGGAGGAGCCAAGGUGAGGCGGGGCCAUCAUCACAAGGCUGAGCAGAAGGCAAUUCCCUCCCACCGGUAGGCACUGUUCUGCAUUAAUUCCGAGGAUUUUCUUAAAUUGUUUUUCCUUCCUGACAAAACCAUCUCAGAGUUCAAACACAAAACAAAAUCAAUUACUUAAAACUCAACACGAUGAUCAGUAAGCAUUUAAAUCAAUAAAAGCACUAAUUUAAAGAGAUCUGACUGGUUCGUGCCCUGAAGGAGGCAGCGGCUACAAACUCCAGGCUGAUGAGAAAUCUCAAUGAUCUGGAAAAUGAGGUGGUUGACCUCCUUGAUCUCUACGGCUACUUGUGGCUCUAAAACCCCCAGAUUACAUGAUUUCCCGUGAACUCUUACAACUCCUGAAAUUCCUCCCAGCUCCCCUCCUGAUGGGUCCUACAGACAAUACUUUCUUCACACUCUCCUUAUCCUCAGUUCUUCCCCACACAGAGCCAGGUUCACCUUGGUCUAAAAUUAAAAAUUUCAAGGCUCCCCCAGGACACGUGUGUGGCUGCGCACGCAUUCAUUCAAAUAGGGCUGAUUCUAUGGGCUCCCAGGCUUUGGAAACUGACAAACAGAUAAAAGAAAGUCCUGUUCUCAAGAGUAAUGCAACAGGCUCGGAUCCAGCAUCUCAAUACAGUGCGUCCUACGCGAAGAAAAGGCUGAGCAGAAUGGCUGGAGAAGGGAGCGACCCCCAAACGAUGAGCUGUUUUCCAGGCAUCACACAGUCCUGAGAAAAAAAUAAGUGGCUGUGAGGCAAGAGGGGGAACUUCCCAGGAAAUGAAAAGCCACCCGGCCUUCCCUGAGAGGCAGAAGACAGAACCACAUAGCAACUUGCCCUACAAGGGAGUCCAAGGAGAUUAGGCCCUCGGGGAGAAACCACUGCUUCGGAAAUAAACACAAAUUAACUCACCCUGGGUAACAACUGAUGCUGGGUAUGGAGCAAAUCUCUCUCUCUCCCUUCAGGGGAAAGGGCAGAAGCAGUAUUAGACCCACUUCUUUGAGAGAGCCUCAGGCAGUAGUGUGACACUGAGGGCCCAAGAGGCCUGGUCUGAACAUGAACUCUACCACAGACUACGUGUGCCAUCAGGGCAUUAGGAUCGUACCUAAUUUCUCCCUAUAAAAUGGAGAAACUCAUGCAAAGCUGCUUAAGGAUUAGAAAGAUUUACCUAUAGAACUUAGCACAGUACUGGGCUCCAAAGAGAAGCUUAAUAAAUUGUGGCUACUGUAAUAUUA